CCUAAUUGGACCAUUCAAAGCCUCUAAGAAUGGGAACCGCUUCUGUCUGACAGCAACUGACUUCUUCACCAAGUGGGUGGAGGCCAGGCCCAUCAAGGACAAGACUGCAAUUGCCACAUCACAGGCUAUGAUGGACAUUUUCUACUCCCAUGGGGCUCCUGAGGUCAUCUUGACAGACCAGGGUUGUGAAUUCUGGAACAAGGUAAACAAGUCCAUGUUUGAGGAGUUUGGUGUCAAGCACCGAAUCACAUCAGCAUACCAUCCUCAGACCAACGGACAGGAUGAGAGGACCAAUCAAACAUUGAAGAGGUCCAUUGGCAAGACCCUUGAUGGACAACAGGAGAGGUGGGAAGACAAAUUAAAAUAAAUAGUUUUUUCAAAUAACUGUUGUGUCCAAGCCUCUUCCAGGUUUUCGCCCUAUCGUCUGAUGUAUGGACGGGAGCCACGUCUGUUUUCAGAGACCACUGGAGAUCUUCCAGAUGAUGUGGACAUUGCUUCUCCAGAUAACGAGGACAUCGAGAAGUACGUCCAGGCAAGGGCUGAGAGCGAUGGAAAGGUCAAUGACAAGGCAAGUGUUUUAUAAAUGGGAAGCAAA